rnacentral:piRNA from 1 species
GUAGUGAUGCUUUCCUCUGAGCA